UGGAGUAUCGCCAAGUGGUAAGGCACUGGUUUUUGGCACCAGCACGCAGAGGUUCGAAUCCUUUUACUCCAG
rnacentral:tRNA from 1 species